GGCUCAAUGGUCUAGUAGUAUGAUUCUCGCUUCGGGUCAACCUGAAUCCCUAACUUCAAAAGAGUUAAUGCGAGAGGUCCCGGGUUCAAAUCCCGGUUGAGCCC